CAAAACCUUCAUUUGAAACAGGAUCUGCUUGGACUUCAGGGACACAAAACUCGUUCAGAAAAUGCAAAGGAAGAAUUCAUUUCUGUCAGAGCGGUGAACGUAGAAGGUGUGUGUGAGCUGAUCCAGUGGAUCCAGUAAAUCCAGCAGCAUGGAUCAGUGUGAGGACACACAGGAGGGAGCCCCCCCCACUAAAAAAGGAAGAGUUGAAAAAGAUGAGAGCCAGACCAAAGCUCAGAGGAACCAGCCUGGACUUGGAGAUGAACACAGCUGUGUGUCUUUCAAGAGUGACGAGUCAAUGUAUCAACCUCUUAACUUCAAAGACAGCAGCUCAGGAGAGGAACAGUAAGUGUUUGUUGGAGUUAAAUGAGGCUCAAUAAUAGUUUUCAGCUGAAUGACUUGAGUUCUGGUUCAGUUUUUUAACUCUCUGAUCAGUCUUGGAGCACCAUGUGUGAUCUGAUCUUUUCAGUUUAGUCUUCUAAGAGUUUCUCUGCGAGAUGUUGGAGAAAUUGGACCAAGAGCACAGUUCUGUCAAAUAAAUUGAAACUAUCUACGCCCAUCAUCCAUUAAAUUACGAAUAGGCAAUAUAAGAUAUUUAGGCAUAAACAUCUCUUCUAGGCUUUGUGAUCUAUUUAAGCUAAACCACACCCAACUCCUUAAAACCAUAAAGCCUGAUCUUACUGGGUGGAAAAUUCUACCCAUUUCACUAAUGGGAAGGAUUGCCACUGUAAAAAUUAUGACUCUUCCCAAAGUUAAUUAUCUGUUUUCAGUGAUUCCUUCCAAACCUUCAACCACUUGGUUCAAAUCAUUAGACACAUCUAUCUCCCAAUGCCUUUGGAAAUGUAAACCGCCAAGGAUAAGUCUAAAACUAUUCAGA